CCUGUCCGAGCGCCAGCCCCGUGGGCCUGCCGUGGCACUGCUGGGAACAUCCAAGGGCAUUAUGCAAUUGUGCAGAGGCGGUUUUUUCAUGCAGCCUGGCGAGGCAGCGUCUGAUAAUGGCUCUGCCUUUGUUUGUAUCACACAAUCGGGCUCGUGAUCUUCCCUCCAGUACAGGCAGCCCACGGUGUUAUGCCCUGUACUUCUGCGAUGACAGGCACAGGGCUGCGCACAGGACAGGGAGCCCGCAGUGCUUUAACCGGUGAAUCACCUACUAGCUAGUUAGGCACAAAUCAUUAAUGGUCUAAAAGGGCUGGAAUAAGUUAGGUCGGCUCCAUUUCUGUGGAAGCGCAAAUUGUGUCUUUUUUCAGGAGGCAUGGGAAACCCUUUCUAAGUUUAAAAACAAACUUACCAACUUUGACUUCUGAGUAAUGACACUGAUUUCAUUUUCCAAAGGUCACAGGGGAAUUUUCUUCUGCCAUCUCUAAAGGGCAUGACAAAUGUUCCUCUAACAAAGUAACGAAUUGUUCAACACAAUGCACUUAGCAAUUACCUUGCCAUAAAGGUAUUUACAGCAGGAUCCUGAGCUAAUUUGCCCAGUGUCAUUCUGCCUUCUGCAUGAUUCUCUUUCACAUUUUGGGCAUGGAUUAGCUUCUAGUACGGUAGGCAAAGGAGUCAACCGUGCAAGAAGUUAGAAGCAAAGACGCUGCAGCAUGUUACUAAAUGCAGAUUCAGCACAAAGAUUACCAACAUAAACCGAGAUCAGUUUGGCAAGAGGAAAACCACCCCUGCACCAGCAGCAGGAACGUGUUCACUGGCCUGUGGGUUACAAGUGCAGUGUCACAGCAAACCUGGUUAGACAAGCGCUCGCCUGGCUCCCUGACCUCUUCUACUUGGCAGGCUUUUCUUUGCAGUUUUGACUGAGACCAAUAUGGGAGUGAACAAUGGAAACUACACUGCCCCUCCAGCCUUCGAACUGCUCCCAGAACAUCCUGGUAUAGGUGCGCUGGCCAGGCAAGGUGAAGGAGAGGUCUCAUCGCUCCAGCAUGCGGGACCAAACUUACCUUUCAAAUCAGAGGGCUACGAGACUUGGGGAAGUUUUGCACGCCCCUGCAGAACAAACCACAGAUCUGGACUGAGGCUUGAUGUUCUCUGUAUGGUACAUGCAUUACUGCUUUUCUGUUCAGAAGACUUCUUUGCAAAUUUCCUGGCCGAGUAAGGAAGGCAGCCUUGGUCACACCAGUUUUGACAGGAGAGCAUCAGGAAGUCCAGCAGAACAGAGCAAGACAGUUCUUCUGGUAUUUAAAAGUACUCCCACGGCUUUGAUCUCUUCCUCCUUUCUGGAAAUGUAAGCGUACAAAGAGGGUCUGGCCCUGUCUGGGAUGAUGCACUGGGCCAUGUGGUGCUGGCCUUGCAAGGCGACAUAGACAAGCCUGCUGUUCUCCAUCCUACAUCAUUCUGGAAAAUUCCCCUAAUAUUCUGGUUGCUGCAGCAAUGCCAACACGCUGCUGCAAUGCCCCGGUACCCUGCCUGCUGAGAAAUGCCCUGAGAUCGCUCCUUUUCAUUAUGAUUUCUGUCUGCUAUUGGCCACACACAGGAUAUCUAGCUACAAACAAAAAUUAAAAAGCAAAUGAGAGAGAACAAGGUCUCCUACCACAAAUCCACCUCCAAGGACCCUAAGAUGUGAGCGUACACAACCGUGCUUGCUUGAAAGCCAGCCUUUAGCCCUGCAUAUCCUUUAAUGUCAGGUAUGUGCCACUCCAAUCAGUAUAUUGUAGCAACCUACUGUAGACAAGUUUUUCUUUAUUGAUGUUUAAAAUAAACAGGUGUUGGUUUUUUUG